GUGUGGAUAGCUUAUCUGGUAAAAGUGCUUCACUGUGAAUGAAGAGAUAGGGUUCGAGUCCCUGCCACACC
rnacentral:tRNA from 1 species